rnacentral:misc_RNA from 1 species
GAUGAAGAACGCAGCGAAAUGCGAUACUUGGUGUGAAUUGCAGAAUCCCGUGAACCAUCGAGUCUUUGAACGCAAGUUGCGCCCGAAGCCAUUAGGCCGAGGGCACGCCUGCCUGGGCGUCACACGUCGUUGCCCCCCCAUCUACUCCUUCGGGAUUGCGGGGGGCGGAUGAUGGCCUCCCGUGCGCCUCGUCGCGCGGUUGGCAUAAAUGCCAAGUCCUCGGCGACGCACGCCACGACAAUCGGUGGUUGCGAAACCUCGGUUGCCCGUCGUGUGCGGUCGUCGCGCAUCGAGGGCUCGAAAAAAUUGCCGGGCUCCGGCGCGGCUUUCAACGCGACCCCAGGUCAGGCGGGGUUACCCGCUGAAUUUAAGCAUAUCAAUAAGCGGAGGA